UUGCUACUCCUUAGCCAUAUCAUAAGAAUACACACAAAACGACCAAGUCCCAAUACAUGCCAUAUAAAUCAAAAAGUUGUUUAACAAAAUCUACCGGAGUAAAUCUGGAUAGUGUGAUCGUUGAUGUAGAUCUGAUCCUCCGAACAUAUAUAUCAAUCUACAAGAAACAAUAAACACACACAAGUAAGCUUGUAGAAAGCUUAGUAAGUUCAUAGGCUAAUAAUAAAAUCUUACCAAAAUUUCACUAACAAUAUUAAUAAACAAAUAAAAAUUCAACAUUUCGUGCCAACCACAAUCUCAAAUAAUGAAUUUACUUAAUCGAACUCAAAUAUCAGAUAUCAACUUAUAUUCCAACAUUUAGCUUCAAUUGCAUUUUUAAAAACUUUUCAAAUUAAGGAUCGUCUUACAGAUUUGAGUACAUCGUUUUCCCGAUGCCACGAUUUGCUUGAAUAUUUUACCAUGCUAUAACUCGGUAUGGUUUCCUUCACUGAAAUACCAUACCUACUUUUCACAACUCAGUAUGGUUUUCUUCAUUGAAACACCAUACCUACUUUUCACAACUCAGUAUGGUUUUCUUCACUGAAACACCAUACCUACUUUUCACAAUUUGCCAUGGAUUCACCAUGGACUUAUUCGUCAAUUCAUCACUGAUUACCAAACGUAUGUACUCAAUCUUGCGUAUCCUUUAAUUUAAACUAACAAUCUCAUUUUUUUCUCAUUUUUACCAUAAUCAUAAUUCAACAACAAUAUACGAAUUGAUACAAUAUGUCAUUCCUACAUUAACAAUUAAUCAUAAAAGUUCAGCCGUAUGAACUUACCUGGGCCAAUUUGUAGGAGUUGUAAAAGUUCAGAGACUAGUUUAAUACUUUCUCUUUUCCGCGUUUAUCUUCGGAUUCCUGAUUUAUAAUAUAAAAUUUUCCAUUUAUUAGCAUCUAAUUCAAUACUAUUUCAUUUCACCAUUUAUGCCUUUCAAUUUUCAAAAGUACACUUUUACCCCAAAAAUUUACAGUUUUUUACAAUUUAAUCCCUACUCAAUUAACACUUUAAUUGAACAAAUUUCUCCUCAAAUAACACUUUGUCUAAUCAUUUUAGUCUACUAUACAGCCUUUUAUAUUCAUAAUUUUAGUACAAAACCCCAAUUCCUAACUAUUUCACAAUUAGGUCUUAAAAAUCAUUUUAUGCUAAAAUCACUUAAUAAAAUCAUAAUAUAAUGAAAUUAAAACUUCAAAUAUAUAUUAAUUCAUCACAAACUUCCAGAACUUAUUCAUAGUAACUUACAAAAUCACCCAUGGAAUCAAAAACUAAUGAAUUCAAUAGUUGGACCUAGUUGUAAAAGUCACAAAACAUAAAAAUUUCAAAGAAAAAGCAAGAAUUUAACUCACAUGGUAUAAAAAUAUGAGAAACCAGCUUGUUUCAGACCUCCUAUGGCGUUUUUGCUGAUAA
rnacentral:lncRNA from 1 species